AGUGAACGCUGGCGGUAGGCCUAACACAUGCAAGUCGAACGGCAGCACAGAGGAGCUUGCUCCUUGGGUGGCGAGUGGCGGACGGGUGAGGAAUACAUCGGAAUCUACUCUGUCGUGGGGGAUAACGUAGGGAAACUUACGCUAAUACCGCAUACGACCUACGGGUGAAAGCAGGGGAUCUUCGGACCUUGCGCGAUUGAAUGAGCCGAUGUCGGAUUAGCUAGUUGGCGGGGUAAAGGCCCACCAAGGCGACGAUCCGUUGCUGGUCUGAGAGGAUGAUCAGCCACACUGGAACUGAGACACGGUCCAGACUCCUACGGGAGUCAGCAGUGGGGAAUAUUGGACAAUGGGCGCAAGCCUGAUCCAGCCAUACCGCGUGGGUGAAGAAGGCCUUCGGGUUGUAAAGCCCUUUUGUUGGGAAAGAAAUCCAUCUGGUUAAUACCCGGGUGGGAUGACGGUACCCAAAGAAUAAGCACCGGCUAACUUCGUGCCAGCCGCCGCAGUAA
rnacentral:rRNA from 1 species